AAGUCGUAACAAGGUCUCCGUAGGUGAACCUGCGGAGGGAUCAUUACUGAAUGAUCAUCCUUGAUCUUCUUACCCUCAAACCACUGUGGAACAUGAGAUGUGCUUCGGCGCCGUCGGCGCCGCCUUUAUGCUUCAACAAUGUCUUUUUAUGUCUGAAGAAUCAAAAUGUCAAAACUUUCAACAAAGGAUCUCUUGGCUCUCGCAUCGAUGAAGAACGUAGCAAAGCGCGAAAUGUAGUGUGAAUUGCAGAACUUAGUGAAUCAUCGAAUCUUUGAACGCACAUUGCGCCUCCCUUUACCGGGAGGCAUGCCUGUCUGAGCGUCUUUUAAAACCCAUAAAUCUCACUUGAUUUGUGUUGGGCUCUGCAUCCAGGUGCAUUGCCUCAAAGCCCUAGGUCUUGAUUUGCGGACAAGUUCCUGUUGGACUUACCGUGAGUUUGACCCAGACCGAAGAAGCCCCUUCGGGCCUCUGAAUCUUGACCUCAGAUCAGGUAGGGAGACCGCCUGAACUUAA
rnacentral:rRNA from 1 species